rnacentral:rRNA from 1 species
GGACUACCAGGGUUUCUAAUCCUGUUUGCUCCCCAUGCUUUCGCACCUCAGUGUCAGUCUGGUCCCAGGCCGCCGCCUUCGCCACAGGUGUUCUUUCCGAUCUCUACGCAUUUCACUGCUACACCGGAAAUUCCACGGCCCUCUGUCCGACUCUAGCUAUCCAGUUUCCAACGCAAUUCCCAGGUUAAGCCCAGGGCUUUCACAUCAGACUUAAAUCGCCACCUACAUGCCCUUUACGCCCAAUAAUUCCGAUUAACGCUUGCACCCUCUGUAUUACCGCGGCUGCUGGCAC